rnacentral:rRNA from 1 species
AUUGAACGCUGGCGGCAGGCCUAACACAUGCAAGUCGGACGGUAGCACAGGGGAGCUUGCUCCCCGGGUGACGAGUGGCGGACGGGUGAGUAAUGUCUGGGAAACUGCCUGAUGGAGGGGGAUAACUACUGGAAACGGUAGCUAAUACCGCAUAACGUCGCAAGACCAAAGAGGGGGACCUUCGGGCCUCUUGCCAUCAGAUGUGCCCAGAUGGGAUUAGCUAGUAGGUGGGGUAACGGCUCACCUAGGCGACGAUCCCUAGCUGGUCUGAGAGGAUGACCAGCCACACUGGAACUGAGACACGGUCCAGACUCCUACGGGAGGCAGCAGUGGGGAAUAUUGCACAAUGGGCGCAAGCCUGAUGCAGCCAUGCCGCGUGUAUGAAGAAGGCCUUCGGGUUGUAAAGUACUUUCAGCGGGGAGGAAGGUGUUGUGGUUAAUAACCACAGCAAUUGACGUUACCCGCAGAAGAAGCACCGGCUAACUCCGUGCCAGCAGCCGCCGUAACAC